GUGAGGAAUUUUCCGCAAUGGGCGAAAGCCUGACGGAGCAAUGCCGCGUGAAGGAUGAAGGCCUAUGGGUUGUAAACUUCUUUUCUCAGAAAAGAAUUAUGACGGUAUCUGAGGAAUAAGCAUCGGCUAACUCUGUGCCAGCAGCCGCGGUAAGACAGAGGAUGCAAGCGUUAUCCGGAAUGAUUGGGCGUAAAGCGUCUGUAGGUUGUUUAAAAAGUAUUCUGUCAAAGAUUAGGGCUUAACCCUAGAUAGGCAGAAUAAACUUUUAAGCUAGAGUUUGGUAGAGGCAGAGGGAAUGCCCGGUGGAGCGGUGAAAUGCGUAGAUAUCGGGAGGAACACCAAAGGCGAAGGCACUCUGCUGGGCCAAUACUAACACUGAGAGACGAUAGCGAGGGGAGCAAAUGGGAUUAGAAGCCCCUGUAGUCC
rnacentral:rRNA from 1 species